UAUCCCUGCUCCCACACACAGACGAGCGUUCUUCCCAGGAAGAAAAGCUGGAGACAGUCCCUUGGAAACAGCCAAGUGUUUGUCUGUGCUUUCAUUCCUCGGAGCAGAGGGAGAAAGGGAAAAAAAUACAGCAGGGAGAGCUUGAAAAAUUCGAGCAAUCAGAGGCACUUCCAGGGCUGGACGACAACAAGGAUUCAGGGCUUCUGUCGGGAAGGCUGGGCUGGAGACCCGAGGAGUUCUGCACAUUCCAAAAAACAAACAGCAGACUCAUCCUUGGGGGUUUGUUUGCAGAACUGCAGGAACCAGAGAUGGAAGAGACCCAUUAACUCAUCUGUCUGUUCCCUCCAGGGCAGAGCAGGGUUUCUCCCUGAGGGGGUUAUUUUUAGCACUCUGUCGAGCAGAGUUUUCAGCGUCUCAUGACAUGGGGGUUUCUUUUCCAGGGAUUUAGAGUGAGCCCUGCCUGGGAAGGAAGGAGGCAACGGAGCCUCAGCUCUCCAGGGAUCUUUGUUCUUACAGAGAAGAAGAAAUGUGACAAUUGCUCUGGAAGAAGCUUCACACGGGCAUCCCACAUCCCAGGAGAUGUCAUACACCCUUGGAUGACUGGCACCUGUCCCCAGGCUCAGCAGACAGAGGAUAUUUCAAAGACAUCCUGGAUUAACAACCUCAGCCUCCUCAGCAGGGUCUGGAGGGUCCAGCAUCACCUGCAGCUCCUGUGAUCCUGUGACAAGAGGAAUCAGCCUCAAGCUGUGCCAGGGGAUGUUUAGGUUGGUUAUGAGGGAAAGUGUCUUCAUGGGAAGGGUGGUCAGGCAUGGAACAGGCUGUCCAGGGAGGUGGUGGAGUCCCCACCCCUGGAGGGAUUUAAAAGCCAUGUGGAUGUGGCACUUGAGGACAUGGGUCAGUGGUGGCCUUGGCAGUGCUGGGGAAUGGUUGGACUUGGUGGUCUUGGAGGACUUUUCCAGCCUAGAGGAUCCCAUGACUCUGUGAUUCCCUGGAUGGCAUUGCCAGCACUCCAAGGGCUACUCAGCUCCUGUGAGGCUGCAGCUGCUGGACAAGGACAGACAUUCCGGGACAUUCCAGGCUCUCUCCUGGACGUGUCUCUCCCUCCUUCCUGCGACUCCCUUUGAUCUCAGAAUUCCACUUGCUCCCAGCCCCUGAGUACAUUUCCCUGGGCAUGGGCUGAGCGUGGCCGUGGGGGCUGGUCCAAGGGGGGGUCUGGCCCCCAGCAAAGCCCCAGGUUUGUGCCCAGGGCCAUCACCAACAGUUUGCAGAUGGUUCCGGUGGCUGUCCCGCUGCGAGGGGGACAGAGGGAG